rnacentral:rRNA from 1 species
UACGUAGGUCCCGAGCGUUGUCCGGAUUUAUUGGGCGUAAGGCGAGCGCAGGUGGUUUAUUAAGUCUGGUGUAAAAGGCAGUGGCUCAACCAUUGUAUGCAUUGGAAACUGGUAGACUUGAGUGCAGGAGAGGAGAGUGGAAUUCCAUGUGUAGCGGUGAAAUGCGUAGAUAUCGGGAGGAACACCAGUAGCGAAGGCGGCCAUCUGGCUGGUAACUGACGCUGAGGUGCGAGAGCGUGGGGAGCAAACAGG